GACGAACCGUGCGAACGUUGUUCGGAAUCACUGGGCGUAAAGGGCGCGUAGGCGGCCUGCCAAGCGUGUGGUGAAAGCCCGGGGCUCAACCCCGGGUCGGCCGUGCGGACUGGCGUGCUCGAGCACUGUAGGGGCGGGUGGAAUUCCGGGUGUAGCGGUGGAAUGCGUAGAGAUCCGGAAGAACACCGGUGGCGAAGGCGGCCCGCUGGGCAGGAAGGCUCGCAAGAGCCGGCUGACGCUGAGGCGCGACAGCGUGGGGAGCAAACGGG
rnacentral:rRNA from 1 species